UUCUUAGUGGCGAACGGGUGAGUAAUACAUAAAUAAUCUACCAUAAUGACUGGGAUAACCAAUGGAAACGCUGGCUAAUACCGGAUAGGUAAAACGAGGGCAUCNNNGUUUUAUUAAAGUAGGACUACUACACAAUAUGAUGAGUUUAUGGCGCAUUAGCUAGUUGGUGAGGUAACGGCUCACCAAGGCGAUGAUGCGUAGCCGACCUGAGAGGGUGACCGGCCACACUGGGACUGAGAUACGGCCCAGACUCCUACGGGAGGCAGCAGUAGGGAAUUUUCGGCAAUGGGCGCAAGCCUGACCGAGCAACGCCGCGUGAGUGAAGAAGGCCUUCGGGUUGUAAAGCUCUGUUGUAAGGGAAGAACACUUUUUAGAGGAAAUGCUAGAGAGCUGACGGUACCUUACCAGAAAGCCACGGCUAACUACGUGCCAGCAGCCGCGGUAAUACGUAGGUGGCGAGCGUUAUCCGGAAUUAUUGGGCGUAAAGGGUGCGUAGGCGGUUUAUUAAGUCUGUGGUGAAAGUGCGGGGCUCAACCCCGUAUGGCCACAGAAACUGAUAGACUAGAGUACAGGAGAGGGCAGUGGAAUUCCAUGUGUAGCGGUAAAAUGCGUAGAUAUAUGGAGGAACACCGGUGGCGAAGGCGGCUGCCUGGCCUGUAACUGACGCUGAGGCACGAAAGCGUGGGGA
rnacentral:rRNA from 1 species